rnacentral:misc_RNA from 1 species
GAAGCGCGAAAUGUAGUGUGAAUCGCAGAACAUCGUGAAUCAUCGAAUCUUUGAACGCACAUUGCGCCUCCCGUCGCAGGGAGGCAUGCCUGUCUGAGCGUCGUGAUAACCCAUACGUCCGGUCCACGGUCGUGUCUUGGGCCGUUCGUCGACGGGGUCUCCGUCGACGUGGCCUCGAAUCCAUCGGUCCAUGGUGAGCGGGCGAGCUUCCGCAGGGGAGGAACCGUUCAAGGGACCCUAAAGCCACUCGAAUUCGACCUCAGAUCAGGUAGGACUACCGCCUGAACUUAA